UGGGGAAUAUUGGACAAUGGGCGCAAGCCUGAUCCAGCCAUGCCGCGUGAGUGAUGAAGGCCCUAGGGUUGUAAAGCUCUUUCACCGGUGAAGAUAAUGACGGUAACCGGAGAAGAAGCCCCGGCUAACUUCGUGCCAGCAGCCGCGGUAAUACGAAGGGGGCUAGCGUUGUUCGGAUUUACUGGGCGUAAAGCGCACGUAGGCGGACUUUUAAGUCAGGGGUGAAAUCCCGGGGCUCAACCCCGGAACUGCCUUUGAUACUGGAAGUCUUGAGUAUGGUAGAGGUGAGUGGAAUUCCGAGUGUAGAGGUGAAAUUCGUAGAUAUUCGGAGGAACACCAGUGGCGAAGGCGGCUCACUGGACCAUUACUGUCGCUGAGGUGCGAAAGCGUGGGGAGCAAACAGG
rnacentral:rRNA from 1 species